AAGUUCCGACCAUAUUGGUAAUUUAAGUAUAUAUUGACCCAACACUUUUUAAAAAAGGGAAUCCUACUCUUUUUGUGGAAUGAUAUUUUAAUUUUAUUAAAAAACAAGAAGCAAGAAGGAGAUUCCCACCUGUUGUAGUACAGGUUCAACUAUUACUUAAAUUACGGUAUGGUGGGAUUUUU
rnacentral:other from 2 species